UGGGGAAUAUUGGACAAUGGGCGAAAGCCUGAUCCAGCCAUGCCGCGUGUGUGAAGAAGGUCUUCGGAUUGUAAAGCACUUUAAGUUGGGAGGAAGGGCAGUUACCUAAUACGUGAUUGUUUUGACGUUACCGACAGAAUAAGCACCGGCUAACUCUGUGCCAGCAGCCGCGGUAAUACAGAGGGUGCAAGCGUUAAUCGGAAUUACUGGGCGUAAAGCGCGCGUAGGUGGUUAGUUAAGUUGGAUGUGAAAUCCCCGGGCUCAACCUGGGAACUGCAUUCAAAACUGACUGACUAGAGUAUGGUAGAGGGUGGUGGAAUUUCCUGUGUAGCGGUGAAAUGCGUAGAUAUAGGAAGGAACACCAGUGGCGAAGGCGACCACCUGGACUGAUACUGACACUGAGGCGCGAAAGCGUGGGGAGCAAACAGGAUUAGAUACCCUUGUAGUCCCUGAGCGGGCUGGCAAGGCGCAU
rnacentral:rRNA from 1 species